rnacentral:ncRNA from 16 species
AAGCCAAAGCAGGUGUUUUGCUGUUUCGUCCUGUUUCUUACUUUCCAUAGGAGAACGGUGUCAGGAAAGUAAGUGGCUU